rnacentral:tRNA from 1 species
AGGCCAGUAGUUAAAUGGUAUAACUGGAGUCUCCAAAACUCUUAUUGAGGGUUCGAUUCCUUCCUGGCCUGCAA